UACAGAGGGGGCAAGCGUUGUUCGGAAUUACUGGGCGUAAAGAGCUCGUAGGCGGUCUGUCGCGUCGGCUGUGAAAACCCGGGGCUCAACCCCGGGCCUGCAGUCGAUACGGGCAGACUAGAGUGUGGUAGGGGAGACUGGAAUUUACGGUGUAGCGGUGAAAUGCGUAGAUAUCGUAAGGAAGACCAGUGGCGAAGGCGGGUCUCGUGGACAGUUCCUGACGCUGAGGCACGAAGGUCAGGGGAGCAAACGGG
rnacentral:rRNA from 1 species